rnacentral:sRNA from 1 species
UAUAUAUGCUAUCUCAUUUAAUAUCUCAUUUAAUCCUUUGAAAAAGUAGGCGGUAGUCCCAGUUUGCUCAAGACUUUAAUAAGUAAUAGAAUGAUAAUUUGGGCUGGACGCAGUGGCUCUCCUGUAAUCCCAGCACUUUGGGAGGCUGAGGUGGGCGGAUCACCUGAGUUCAGGCGUUCAAGACCAGCCAUGGUCAACAUGGCGAAACCCCAUCUCUACUAAAAAUACAAAAAUUAGCUGGGUGUGGUGAGUCAUUCCUGUGACCCAGCUACUUGGGAGGCUGAGGUAUGAGAAUUGUUUGAACCCAGGAGGCAGAGGUUGCAGUGAGCCGGGAUCACGUCACUGCACUUCAGCCUGGACGACAGGAAUGUUUCUCCAUCCCAGAGAGAUGAAGUAAUUCAAUGGCUGGCCAAACUCAAGUACCAAUUCAACCUUUACCCAGAAACAUUUGCUCUGGCUAGCAGUCUUUUGGACAGGUUUUUAGCUACCGUAAAGGCUCAUCCAAAAUACUUGAGUUGUAUUGCAAUCAGCUGUUUUUUCCUAGCUGCCAAGACUGUUGAGGAAGAUGAGAGAAUUCCAGUACUAAAGGUAUUGGCAAGAGACAGUUU